GCGAUUGUGGCGCAGUGCCAGCGCAGCUGACUACCACACAAGAGGUCACAGGUUCGAAUCCAGGUUAAAGCU